AGAGUUUGAUCCUGGCUCAGAACGAACGCUGGCGGCAGGCUUAACACAUGCAAGUCGAACGCCCCGCAAGGGGAGUGGCAGACGGGUGAGUAACGCGUGGGAAUCUACCUUUUGCUACGGGAUAGCUCCGGGAAACUGGAAUUAAUACCGUAUGUGCCCUUCGGGGGAAAGAUUUAUCGGCAAAGGAUGAGCCCGCGUUGGAUUAGCUAGUUGGUGGGGUAAAGGCCUACCAAGGCGACGAUCCAUAGCUGGUCUGAGAGGAUGAUCAGCCACAUUGGGACUGAGACACGGCCCAAACUCCUACGGGAGGCAGCAGUGGGGAAUAUUGGACAAUGGGCGCAAGCCUGAUCCAGCCAUGCCGCGUGAGUGAUGAAGGUCUUAGGAUUGUAAAGCUCUUUCACCGGGGACGAUAAUGACGGUACCCGGAGAAGAAGCCCCGGCUAACUUCGUG
rnacentral:rRNA from 1 species